GAUUUUAUGACAACUAAUCUUUUGUCUAAAUUACAAUAUUUGUGGAUGUGGUUGUAGUUAUUUGCUGGCUAAUAACAAUAAGCUUUGAGUGAGACCUAUGGCAGCUAAAGUUACAGUUUAGCUGCUAACCAGCAAAGUUGCACAUGCUUUUCAAUCCGGUUGGUUCCUGUGUUGCUUGAAGGACAGCAAUAUGUCCUGACCUACAGGUUCAGCCAGGACCACUUGGAGCUUCUCUUCAACUCCCUCAGAGUAUCUGAGGCAAUGUGACGGCACAGGAUGACACAGAGUCCCUACCAGCUGUCAUCGACACCUCUACAAGCCUGUCAGCUGUAGAUGUGUCCUCUGCAGCAGUAGGAGAAGAUCUUCUAUCCCCGUUUCCUGACAUUCCUGCCCUAGUACAUGAUCACAGCUACCUUCCAUUCACUUCGAUGGUCUUGUGGACAACGCUCUCAUGUACAUUUCAGGCUCUGAAGAAGCUUUCGUGUGAUGUCUGCCGUGCCAGCCUGGUGACAUGCUGCAUCUGCCAUCAAGGACCAGAGCUACCACCUGCUGAAUUUAAAAAACAAUGGAGGUCUGGUGAUUCCAUCAGAGGGAACCGUGAGUGUCGUCAGGGCAGCAGAGUGGGUCAUUCGGCAGUACCAGACGAUCACAGCCCAUCAUACUGCUUGAGGUUGUUUACAUUGUCUGAAAAAGGAUCGGUUCAGAGGAUGUUUGUGUUGGGAUAGACAGUAUGGGAUAGACAUCCACCACCAUAGGCUGUUAAAAAUUAUUCUGUCCCUGUUUUUUAAGUUAAGGCUGCACCACAUCGCCAGAAUUACAAUCCUCAGCUUACAGAGCAACAACAUGCAACAGAAACUUAAUAAAACUGUCCUUUUCAAAGGGCAUUAGCCCAAGGUAUGUGUUUUCAAGGUACUGUCCUCUUUUACUUCAACAGUAGUGUAGUGCUCUCUACAGCAUUUAUUUAUUUGUAUAUAUAAAUGAUUUAUUU
ensembl:lncRNA